rnacentral:rRNA from 1 species
AUUGAACGCUGGCGGCAUGCUUUACACAUGCAAGUCGAACGGUAACAGGCCGCAAGGUGCUGACGAGUGGCGAACGGGUGAGUAAUGCAUCGGAACGUGCCCAGUCGUGGGGGAUAACUACUCGAAAGAGUAGCUAAUACCGCAUACGAUCUAUGGUUGAAAGCGGGGGACCGUAAGGCCUCGCGCGAUUGGAGCGGCCGAUGUCAGAUUAGGUAGUUGGUGGGGUAAAGGCUCACCAAGCCAACGAUCUGUAGCUGGUCUGAGAGGACGACCAGCCACACUGGAACUGAGACACGGCCCAGACUCCUACGGGAGGCAGCAGUGGGGAAUUUUGGGCAAUGGGCGCAAGCCUGAUCCAGCAAUGCCGCGUGCAGGAAGAAGGCCUUCGGGUUGUAAACUGCUUUUGUACGGAACGAAACGGCUCUGGUUAAUACCCGGAGCUAAUGACGGUACCGUAAGAAUAAGCACCGGCUAACUACGUG